AAACCGUGUUGUGGGCAUGAACUGAUAAGAUCCUUAAACCGCUCCCAACAUUGAAAGAAUGUUUCAUCUUCCUUUUGGGUUCAUGAUCGACUUUCUAAGGGU